GGGGGGAAGAGAUUUGCCAGUGUGUAUGCUAGAGAAAAUGGCGGGAGGAUUUGUGAGGGUGAUGCGUGUGGGUGGAAGAGGGGCCCCCAUGGAGGAAAAGAAUGACGGUUUCAGGUUGGGAGAGGGUAGGGGGGCCACCCUGGAUUUAGAUCACGUGGUUGUUCGCACGGUAAAGGACGUCGAUUUAGAGGGUGGGGUCUUGAGCUGAGGCUUCUGGAGCUGACGGGUUAAAUCGACCGCCUGGGGAGUACGGCCGCAAGGUUAAAACUCAAAUGAAUUGACGGGGGCCCGCACAAGCGGUGGAGCAUGUGGUUUAAUUCGAUGCAACGCGAAGAACCUUACCUACUCUUGACAUCCAGCGAAUCCUUUAGAGAUAGAGGAGUGCCUUCGGGAACGCUGAGACAGGUGCUGCAUGGCUGUCGUCAGCUCGUGUUGUGAAAUGUUGGGUUAAGUCCCGCAACGAGCGCAACCCUUAUCCUUUGUUGCCAGCGCGUAAUGGCGGGAACUCAAAGGAGACUGCCGGUGAUAAACCGGAGGAAGGUGGGGAUGACGUCAAGUCAUCAUGGCCCUUACGAGUAGGGCUACACACGUGCUACAAUGGCAGAUACAAAGAGAAGCGACCUCGCGAGAGCAAGCGGAACUCAUAAAGUCUGUCGUAGUCCGGAUUGGAGUCUGCAACUCGACUCCAUGAAGUCGGAAUCGCUAGUAAUCGUAGAUCAGAAUGCUACGGUGAAUACGUUCCCGGGCCUUGUACACACCGCCCGUCACAGCCAUGGGAGUGGGUGCAAAAGAAGUAGGUAGCUUAACCUUCGGGAGCGCGCUACCACUGAUCAGUGGUUAA
rnacentral:rRNA from 1 species